UUUGGAUCACCGAGGUGCAGCCAUACCUUCCACAGCCAUCACUGUUGCUUACAACUCACAUGCCAAGAAUUGCAAGAUGAAGAUGGUGAUCAGGAGGCAUGACUUGGAAGAAGAGCCCAAGGACCGUAGCAAGGCCCUGAUUCUGGGAGACGAGAGAACACGCUGACUUAGAAUGCUUGUCUCUGCAUCCUGGUCAGAAAGUAGAUGGACGACACUUUCAUCUCCGACUGGAUUUUGGUGAGAGAUGGGCAAACCCCGGGCUCUAGGCUGGAGCAGCAGCUCUUGUAUCCACACAAAAUCAGGACUGGUGGAGGGAGCCAUCUUCAAACAUAAAUUUGGUGAGUUUAACAAUCAGAGAUUUGAAAAACACAGAAAUGAACAUUUCUGAUCAAUGACACUGCUGAUCUGAUGCAUCAUAACAGAAACCAGUCAUCAAGGUACAACAAACUGUUCCAAACCACUGAGAAAUGGCUUGUCUGUGGGCUCCCAGUUCAAAUGCUCACAAACCUGGGAGGCUGGUUGAUCAGGGUUGGGAGGGAGGGUCUAGCCAUAGCUCAGCAGCUUCCCUAAGGUUGUUGUGCAUGUCCCUAGCUGGCUUAGUUUGGGCUGAUGUCUUUUACGUGUAGUUCUAGAUGGUUUGAACAUAUUGGCUGUUUCUCGUUUUCUUCUGUUUAAG
rnacentral:lncRNA from 1 species